GAUUAAGUUAUUAAGGGCGCACGGUGGAUGCCUUGGCACUAGAAGCCGAUGAAGGACGUUACUAACGACGAUAUGCUUUGGGGAGCUGUAAGUAAGCUUUGAUCCAGAGAUUUCCGAAUGGGGAAACCCAGCAUGAGUUAUGUCAUGUUAUCGAUAUGUGAAUACAUAGCAUAUCAGAAGGCACACCCGGAGAACUGAAACAUCUUAGUACCCGGAGGAAGAGAAAGAAAAUUCGAUUCCCUUAGUAGCGGCGAGCGAAACGGGAAGAGCCCAAACCAACAAGCUUGCUUGUUGGGGUUGUAGGACACUCUAUACGGAGUUACAAAGGACGACAUUAGACGAAUCAUCUGGAAAGAUGAAUCAAAGAAGGUAAUAAUCCUGUAGUCGAAAAUGUUGUCUCUCUUGAGUGGAUCCUGAGUACGACGGAGCACGUGAAAUUCCGUCGGAAUCUGGGAGGACCAUCUCCUAAGGCUAAAUACUCUCUAGUGACCGAUAGUGAACCAGUACCGUGAGGGAAAGGUGAAAAGCACCCCGGAAGGGGAGUGAAAUAGAACCUGAAACCGUGUGCUUACAAGUAGUCAGAGCCCGUUAAUGGGUGAUGGCGUGCCUUUUGUAGAAUGAACCGGCGAGUUACGAUUUGAUGCAAGGUUAAGCAGUAAAUGUGGAGCCGUAGCGAAAGCGAGUCUGAAUAGGGCGUUUAGUAUUUGGUCGUAGACCCGAAACCAGGUGAUCUACCCUUGGUCAGGUUGAAGUUCAGGUAACACUGAAUGGAGGACCGAACCGACUUACGUUGAAAAGUGAGCGGAUGAACUGAGGGUAGCGGAGAAAUUCCAAUCGAACCUGGAGAUAGCUGGUUCUCUCCGAAAUAGCUUUAGGGCUAGCCUCAAGUGAUGAUUAUUGGAGGUAGAGCACUGUUUGGACGAGGGGCCCCUCUCGGGUUACCGAAUUCAGACAAACUCCGAAUGCCAAUUAAUUUAACUUGGGAGUCAGAACAUGGGUGAUAAGGUCCGUGUUCGAAAGGGAAACAGCCCAGACCACCAGCUAAGGUCCCAAAAUAUAUGUUAAGUGGUAAAGGAUGUGGCGUUGCCCAGACAACUAGGAUGUUGGCUUAGAAGCAGCCAUCAUUUAAAGAGUGCGUAAUAGCUCACUAGUCGAGUGACACUGCGCCGAAAAUGUAUCGGGGCUAAACAUAUUACCGAAGCUGUGGAUUGUCCUUUGGACAAUGGUAGGAGAGCGUUCUAAGGGCGUUGAAGCAUGAUCGUAAGGACAUGUGGAGCGCUUAGAAGUGAGAAUGCCGGUGUGAGUAGCGAAAGACGGGUGAGAAUCCCGUCCACCGAUUGACUAAGGUUUCCAGAGGAAGGCUCGUCCGCUCUGGGUUAGUCGGGUCCUAAGCUGAGGCCGACAGGCGUAGGCGAUGGAUAACAGGUUGAUAUUCCUGUACCACCUAUAAUCGUUUUAAUCGAUGGGGGGACGCAGUAGGAUAGGCGAAGCGUGCGAUUGGAUUGCACGUCUAAGCAGUAAGGCUGAGUAUUAGGCAAAUCCGGUACUCGUUAAGGCUGAGCUGUGAUGGGGAGAAGACAUUGAGUCUUCGAGUCGUUGAUUUCACACUGCCGAGAAAAGCCUCUAGAUAGAAAAUAGGUGCCCGUACCGCAAACCGACACAGGUAGUCAAGAUGAGAAUUCUAAGGUGAGCGAGCGAACUCUCGUUAAGGAACUCGGCAAAAUGACCCCGUAACUUCGGGAGAAGGGGUGCUCUUUAGGGUUAACGCCCAGAAGAGCCGCAGUGAAUAGGCCCAAGCGACUGUUUAUCAAAAACACAGGUCUCUGCUAAACCGUAAGGUGAUGUAUAGGGGCUGACGCCUGCCCGGUGCUGGAAGGUUAAGAGGAGUGGUUAGCUUCUGCGAAGCUACGAAUCGAAGCCCCAGUAAACGGCGGCCGUAACUAUAACGGUCCUAAGGUAGCGAAAUUCCUUGUCGGGUAAGUUCCGACCCGCACGAAAGGCGUAACGAUUUGGGCACUGUCUCAACGAGAGACUCGGUGAAAUCAUAGUACCUGUGAAGAUGCAGGUUACCCGCGACAGGACGGAAAGACCCCGUGGAGCUUUACUGUAGCCUGAUAUUGAAAUUCGGCACAGCUUGUACAGGAUAGGUAGGAGCCUUUGAAACGUGAGCGCUAGCUUACGUGGAGGCGCUGGUGGGAUACUACCCUAGCUGUGUUGGCUUUCUAACCCGCACCACUUAUCGUGGUGGGAGACAGUGUCAGGCGGGCAGUUUGACUGGGGCGGUCGCCUCCUAAAAGGUAACGGAGGCGCUCAAAGGUUCCCUCAGAAUGGUUGGAAAUCAUUCAUAGAGUGUAAAGGCAUAAGGGAGCUUGACUGCGAGACCUACAAGUCGAGCAGGGUCGAAAGACGGACUUAGUGAUCCGGUGGUUCCGCAUGGAAGGGCCAUCGCUCAACGGAUAAAAGCUACCCCGGGGAUAACAGGCUUAUCUCCCCCAAGAGUUCACAUCGACGGGGAGGUUUGGCACCUCGAUGUCGGCUCAUCGCAUCCUGGGGCUGUAGUCGGUCCCAAGGGUUGGGCUGUUCGCCCAUUAAAGCGGUACGCGAGCUGGGUUCAGAACGUCGUGAGACAGUUCGGUCCCUAUCCGUCGUGGGCGUAGGAAAUUUGAGAGGAGCUGUCCUUAGUACGAGAGGACCGGGAUGGACAUACCUCUGGUGUACCAGUUGUCGUGCCAACGGCAUAGCUGGGUAGCUAUGUGUGGACGGGAUAAGUGCUGAAAGCAUCUAAGCAUGAAGCCCCCCUCAAGAUGAGAUUUCCCAACUUCGGUUAUAAGAUCCCUCAAAGAUGAUGAGGUUAAUAGGUUCGAGGUGGAAGCAUGGUGACAUGUGGAGCUGACGAAUACUAAUCGAUCGAAGACUUAAUCAA
rnacentral:rRNA from 1 species